GCACUCUCUGAUCCGAAUAUCGUCUCCAAAAUCCUCGCUGGCAUGGACAUGGAGUACAACCCGCUGGUCUCUGCGCUCGCCGGCAGGGUGGAGCCAAUCACCGUCCAGGAGCUCUACAACCAACUGCUCAGUUUGAUGC
rnacentral:snoRNA from 1 species